GGGUAGUCCCAGCUGUAAACGAUGCAGGCUAGGUGUUGGAACGGCUACGAGCCGUUUCAGUGCCGCAGGGAAGCUGUUAAGCCUGCCGCCUGGGGAGUACGGCCGCAAGGCUGAAACUUAAAGGAAUUGGCGGGGGAGCACCACAAGGGGUGAAGCUUGCGGUUUAAUUGGAGUCAACGCCGGAAAUCUCACCGGGGGCGACAGCAGAAUGAAGGCCAGAUUGAAGGUCUUGCCAGACAAGCUGAGAGGAGGUGCAUGGCCGUCGCCAGUUCGUGCCGUGAGGUGUCCUGUUAAGUCAGGCAACGAUCGAGACCCGCGUCCCCUGUUGCUACUGGCCAAUGUGCCAGGCACACUGGGGAGACUGCCGCCGAAAAGGCGGAGGAAGGAGCGGGCCACGGCAGGUCAGUAUGCCCCGAAUCCCCCGGGCACACGCGAGCUGCAAUGGCAGGGGUACAGAGGGGUUCCAACCUCGAAAGGGGGGAGGUAAUCCCUAAAGCCUAGCCGUAGUUGGGAUCGAGGGCUGCAAC
rnacentral:rRNA from 1 species